rnacentral:rRNA from 1 species
GGUAACGGCCCACCAAGGCGACGAUCAGUAGCCGGCCUGAGAGGGUGAACGGCCACAUUGGGACUGAGACACGGCCCAAACUCCUACGGGAGGCAGCAGUGGGGGAUAUUGGACAAUGGGGGGAACCCUGAUCCAGCGACGCCGCGUGAGUGAAGAAGUAUCUCGGUAUGUAAAGCUCUAUCAGCAGGGAAGAAGAAAUGACGGUACCUGAGUAAGAAGCCCCGGCUAACUACGUGCCAGCAGCCGCGGUAAUACGUAGGGGGCAAGCGUUAUCCGGAAUUACUGGGUGUAAAGGGAGCGUAGACGGUGAUGUAAGUCUGGAGUGAAAGGCGGGGGCCCAACCCCCGGACUGCUCUGGAAACUAUGUGACUGGAGUGCAGGAGAGGUGAGCGGAAUUCCUAGUGUAGCGGUGAAAUGCGUAGAUAUUAGGAGGAACACCAGUGGCGAAGGCGGCUCACUGGACUGUAACUGACGUUGAGGCUCGAAAGCGUGGGGAGCAAACAGGAUUAGAUACCCUGGUAGUCCACGCCGUAAACGAUGAUCACUAGGUGUGGGUGGGUAUGGACCCAUCG